CGGGCGGCUGCUUUACCUGCAAGUCGAACGGCAGCACGGGGGCAACCCUGGUGGCGAGUGGCGAACGGGUGAGUAAUAUAUCGGAACAUGUCCGGAAGUGGGGGAUAACGUAGCGAAAGUUACGCUAAUACCGCAUAUGCCCUGAGGGGGAAAGGGGGGGAUCGCAAGACCUCUCGCUUUCGGAGUGGCCGAUAUCAGACUAGCUAGUUGGUGGGGUAAAGGCCUACCAAGGCGACGAUCUGUAGCUGGUCUGAGAGGACGACCAGCCACACUGGGGCUGAGACACGGCCCAGACUCCUACGGGAGGCAGCAGUGGGGAACUUUGGACAAUGGGGGCAACCCUGAUCCAGCCAUGCCGCGUGAGUGAAGAAGGCCUUCGGGUUGUAAAGCUCUUUCGGACAGAAAGAAAUCGUGCAGAUUAAUACUCUGUAUGGAUGACGGUACUGUAAGAAGAAGCACCGGCUAACUACGUGCCAGCAGCCGCGGUAAUACGUAGGGUACGAGCGUUAAUCGGAAUUACUGGGCGUAAAGCGUGCGCAGGCGGUUUUGUAAGACAGACGUGAAAUCCCCGGGCUUAACCUGGGAACUGCGUUUGUGACUGCAAGGCUAGAGUACGGCAGAGGGGGGUAGAAUUCCACGUGUAGCAGUGAAAUGCGUAGAUAUGUGGAGGAAUACCGAUGGCGAAGGCAGCCCCCUGGGUCGAUACUGACGCUCAUGCACGAAAGCGUGGGGAGCAAACAGGAUUAGAUACCCUGGUAGUCCACGCCCUAAACGAUGUCAACUAGGUGUUGGGGGGAGGAGACUUCCUUAGUACCGCA
rnacentral:rRNA from 1 species